rnacentral:rRNA from 1 species
UAUGUGAUCGUCUCUCGCAUAUCAAUAAGCGGAGGAAAAGAAACUAACAAGGAUUCCCCUAGUAACGGCGAGUGAAGCGGGAAGAGCUCAAAUUUGAAAUCUUAAGGGUUUCCCUUUACGAAUUGUAGUUUAAAGAAGUGUUUUCUGUUGAGGUUUUGGUAAAAGUUCUUUGGAAUAGGACAUCAUAGAGGGUGAGAAUCCCGUAUUUGACCUUUACUUUCAACUUUGUGAUACACUUUCAAAGAGUCGGAUUGUUUGGGAAUGCAGUCCAAAAUGGGUGGUAAAUUUCAUCUAAGCUAAAUAUUGGCGAGAGACCGAUAGCGAACAAGUACCGUGAGGGAAAGAUGAAAAGAACUUUGAAAAGAGAGUUAAACAGUACGUGAAAUUGUCAAAAGGGAAGCGUUUGACACCAGUGUUGUUUUUCUGAAAAUCAAUUAAAGAACUGUUUAUGCUAAGCUGUUUAGACUUUAUCAGCUAAUCUGUUUAGUUUUGAGCUUUUCUUUAAUGCACUUUUCAGUUAACAAGUCAACAUCAAUUUCUUUUGCUGUAAAAAAGCUUGAGGAAGGUGGCUUGAGAUUCGUCUUAAGUGUUUAUAGCCUCUUGCCUAUGCAGUCGGAGAGAUUGAGGUCUGCAGCGUAGAUCCUUCGGGGCUAAAUGCAUUUGUGCUAAGUUAUAGCAUUUUAUAGACAACUUGUUGACUAUGAUUUGUCUUGUAGCUUACUCGCUUAUGUUAGUUUUACCUACGCUUAGGAUGUUGAGUAGCGACAUACGCAC